rnacentral:lncRNA from 1 species
GAAGACCCAACAGCCAUUUUCCUGAUUGACUGACCGAGAAGGGUAUUCCGCCCUAUUGGUCUUCGGGAUUAUGGUCGAAGCAGAGUAGAUGAAGACCCAACAGCCAUUUUCCUGAUUGACUGACCGAGAAGGGUAUUCCGCCCUAUUGGUCUUCGGGAUUAUGGUCGAAGCAGAGUAGAUGAAGACCCAACAGCCAUUUUCUUGAUUGAUUGACCGAGAAGGGUAUUUCG